UCAUGCUCAUCUUCAUCAUCGUCAUCAUGGUGAUGGUGAUGAUGUUCGUGCUCGUCUUCAUCAUCAUCGUCAUCGUGGUGAUGGUGGUGAUGCUCG
rnacentral:misc_RNA from 1 species